AUUUAACUGACGCAUCAAUUGCAGGCAUUGCUAUUGGGGGAAUAUUUGUUCUUGUACUAGUCAUUGCAGGAUUCGUCUGUGUUUGCAGACAAGUAAUACGAAAAUUAGGUCUGGAUGAAACAUUUGAUAUAGAAAAUAUACAAGUUAGACUCUUUGAAAAUCUGCCUACUGGAAGCAAUUUGUAUAACCUUAUUAAGACACCAGCUGACAGGUCCAGCUUCCCCCUCAUCACCCC